rnacentral:rRNA from 1 species
UGAACGGCUGGCGGCGUGCUUAACACAUGCAAGUCGAACGAAGAAGAGUUGAAUGAGAGCUUCGGCAGGAUUUCUUCUCAUCUUAGUGGCGGACGGGUGAGUAACGUGUGGGCAACCUGCCCUAUACUGGGGAAUAAUCACUGGAAACGGUGACUAAUACCGCAUGUCAUCACCGGAGGGCAUCCUCUGGUGAAAAAAGGAGCAAUUCGGUAUAGGAUGGGCCCGCAUCUGAUUAGCUAGUUGGUGAGAUAACAGCCCACCAAGGCGACGAUCAGUAGCCGACCUGAGAGGGUGAUCGGCCACAUUGGGACUGAGACACGGCCCAAACUCCUACGGGAGGCAGCAGUGGGGAAUAUUGCACAAUGGGGGAAACCCUGAUGCAGCGACGCCGCGUGAGUGAAGAAGUAUUUCGGUAUGUAAAGCUCUAUCAGCAGGGAAGAAAAUGACGGUACCUGACUAAGAAGCCCCGGCUAACUACGUG